AAGUCGAGCUUACCUUGGCCCGUGCUCGGCCCUUUUACAAACGAGUCAAUUUCGAGCGAGCCGCGAGCUUUUUGAACAACCCUUACUUUUUUGCCUUUUUGCAGCGCCCAACGGUUGAAUGACUUGGGUGAAGAAUCGACCAGACUUCCUCUCUUCCUCUCUGGAGGUAGGUAAGUAUUGCUUACAUUAAUAGAAAUCAUGGAUCUACCAUUGCUGAAACUAGAGUUGGCAAAUUGUGCCGGAUGGGUCAAAAUGGGUCGGGCCGGUUUAAGCCCAUCAAUACUUUUUAUGUCCAUUUUGUAUAUACUUUAGACUACUAUUUCUUUUUAGCUAAUUUUCCUUCCACAUUCGACCCGUUAUCAAUGAAAUACAUGUUUGAAUUUUGUUGACACAGGCAAAACCACGGUUCCUAUGGAAUAACUAUAUGUUGGAGCUUCUAAUAGAUAACAAGAAGCUGGAUGCAAACAUUCUUCCUGUUAUUCAAGGAACUUUUCAAAGCUUUGAAGUAGCAAUAGGCAAAGAUAUUAUAGAUGUCACCUUGAUAGCAAGGAGGAGAUGAAGUUGAGGAAGAAGAUGAGAAACAGAUGAUGGAGUCUUUUAAUUCACAAAUCCCAGAAAAAGCCCAAAACACAUUUAUUUUGCAUUCAGUUUUGUAUGGUAGAGUACACAUCAGUAAAUCAACUAUUUAGAAUACUUUACACUGCCAUGG